GGAGACUGUCGGCAAUUCUGUAACGCAUUUUGCCAGUGUUUGGAGAUAUUUAAAACAUACGACAUGGAACCAACUCAUAGUUUGAAGAGAAGUCCUCAAGGAGAAGAGGAGAGAGAAAGUCCUUGGUUUUCUAUAUUGAAGUGUGCCAAGUGUCACGAUUGGUACCCGACCUUGUGCCACAGGCCCACGAUCGGUGACUGGCACUGCCCGUCCUGCCAGCGGAAGCUCAACGAGGUGGUCGAACACGGUGCAUUCCAGCAGCCCAUGGAGCAGACGUUCAAC